rnacentral:rRNA from 1 species
CCUACGGGUGGCAGCAGUGAGGAAUAUUGGUCAAUGGACGAAAGUCUGAACCAGCCAAGUAGCGUGAAGGAUGACUGCCCUAUGGGUUGUAAACUUCUUUUAUAAGGGAAUAAAACGAGGCACGUGUGCCUUUUUGCAUGUACUUUAUGAAUAAGGAUCGGCUAACUCCGUGCCAGCAGCCGCGGUAAUACGGAGGAUCCGAGCGUUAUCCGGAUUUAUUGGGUUUAAAGGGAGCGUAGGUGGGUUGUUAAGUCAGAUGUGAAAGUUUGCGGCUCAACCGUAAAACUGCAAUUGAUACUGGCAGUCUGGAGUACAGUUGAGGUAGGCGGAAUUCGUGGUGUAGCGGUGAAAUGCAUAGAUAUCACGCGGAACACCGAUCGCGAAGGCAGCCUACCGGCGCGCAACUGACGUUCAGGCACGAAAGCGUGGGGAGCGAACAGGAUUAGAUACCCUAGUAGUC